AUUAGAAUCACCUGGGAAUCUUUUUAAAAUCCUGAUUUCUGAAUGAGGCCCAGAAAUCAGGAUUUUAAAAAGAUUCCCAGGUGAUUCUAAU
rnacentral:pre_miRNA from 1 species